CAUAUAUUUUAUAAGCACAUUUCUAGCUUCUGUGGUGCUUUCCUGUAUUUUGUUUAAGCUCUUGUGUACCCUGUGACUUGGUCACUGAGAGCAGCAGGAUCAGAGAGCUCUACAAACACUCGACUCAACAAAGAACAAACCACUCCUGAACAAAAAGACUAGCCAGAUCAUUGGCGGACACAAAGGGUCUCUUUGAAACAGUGGGAAAGUCAAUACAAGGCCUGGCAAGAACACCAUUACGCGGCUCUCUAACUAGCGCACACUGAAGUCCUCCGAGGCCAGCACUCUGAUGGAGGCGCUUUUCGUUUCAAGAGAAGAAAAUUAAUAUAACACUUAAGGGCGAUGAUUUAUAUGUUUCCUUGGCCACAGACCUUUCGUCUAAUGGAACACCGCGCAAGUUUAUGCUUUCACGAAAUACGUUUUGAUAAAUAACUUUCUAACCCAAAUUGUCGAUUCUUUUAAAUACUUGAACUUUUUGCGCGUGAUAUUUGAACCCUAAAGAACGCAAUUUUAUCACGAUAGCUGAAAUUAGUCGCGGAGUCACUUGCAGCGUUCAGAGCACAGUUAGAGUUUUGUGGAUAAUUUCGUUAGUACACCGUCUCCAAAUUCCAACUCUCGCUAAUUAAUAAUUUUGCCAAUUGCAGACACCAAUUUUCCAAUAAAUUGCAUUAUCGGAUUUCCAUUGCCAGUGGAUCUUUUGAUCUUGGAACAAGAACACUUGCUUUGGAAGGAAGAAAAUUGACACAUGCGCUGUCGAAUGUAGCCGCGAAGCCGCAAACAGUGGAGAAACUGUUAAGACGUGAAUUAUGGUCACACAAGUAGACAAGAACUGCCACAUUAGCGAGACGAGCAGGAAGAAAAUCCCGUAUUAGAAUAAAAGCAUUGAAAGAAAUCCCAGAAUUUGUUGAACGUCUUCAGACAAUGCUACUUAUUCGUGGUCACGAAUCAAGAGUAAACACAGAUGGUCAAGUCGGGCCAUUGAUCAGAGAGGCAGCAACACGCCUACUGGAUCUAAUGGUACACACACAGACAGCCCUGAUUUUAGACGAAAUUAUAAACGUAUUUUUCUAUGUCAUAUUAUUCAGUUGGUGUUUGGUCGCUUUCUUGUUGUAUGUAUCGUUGUAUUAAAAUAGUAUUAAGAUUGGUUUUGUCGGUGCAUCAUCAAGAAAGGCCAUGAACUGAGAAAAGAUAAUGAUUGUUUUUUUCUGGGGGUUUUCAGGAUUUUUUUUUUUUUUUCAUUUUCAAGUACAAUGUAUGUGUUUUAAAUCGAAAUGGACAGAUUUGAUAUCGUGUUUUUGUGACAAGCCUGAUUAUUGCGCGAGUGUAGAAAAAUAAUAAGUGCUUUUGAAAAUAUAUA